rnacentral:rRNA from 1 species
GACGUAGGGGCGAGCGUUGUCCGGAUUUAUUGGGCGUAAGAGCGCGUAGGCGGCCCGGAAAGUCGGAUGUGAAAACCCGGGGCUCAACCCCGGGCCUGCAUCCGAUACUCCCGGGGCUGGAGGCAGGUAGGGGAGAUCGGAAUUCCUGGUGUAGCGGUGAAAUGCGCAGAUAUCAGGAGGAACACCGGUGGCGAAGGCGGAUCUCUGGGCCUGUCCUGACGCUGAGGCGCGAAAGCUAGGGGAGCGAACAGG